CCCGUAGGGCGCAAGCGUUGUCCGGAAUUAUUGGGCUUAAAGAGCUCGUAGGCGGUCUGUUGCGUCCGCUGUGAAAACUCGGGGCUUAACCCAGAGCCGCCACUCGAUACUGCUGUGACUAGAGUGCGGUAGGGGAGCGGGGAAUUCCUGGUGUAGCGGUGAAAUGCGCAGAUAUCAGGAGGAACACCAGUGGCGAAGGCGCCGCUCUGGGCCGUGACUGACGCUGAGGAGCGAAAGCGUGGGUAGCAAACAGG
rnacentral:rRNA from 1 species